rnacentral:rRNA from 1 species
UACGAAGGGUGCUAGCGUUGUUCGGAAUCACUGGGCGUAAAGCGCGCGUAGGCGGCUUAACAAGUCAGGGGUGAAAUCCCACAGCUCAACUGUGGAACUGCCUUUGAAACUGUUAAGCUGGAGUGUCGGAGGGGAUGGCGGAAUUCCUAAUGUAGAGGUGAAAUUCGUAGAUAUUAGGAGGAACACCGGUGGCGAAGGCGGCCAUCUGGACGACAACUGACGCUGAGGCGCGAAAGCGUGGGGAUCAAACAGG